rnacentral:misc_RNA from 1 species
AGAGUUCCUCUUCCUCUCUCUUCCUAAGCUCUCUACCCUUUUCUUUUCCCAGUAAAAAAAUCGAUUCAAUUCGUCAAUUCGAUUCAAAAUCGCCGCUGCAAAUCUCUGAAAACCUUCUUAACUCCUGUCUUCGAGUUUUAUUUAUCUCUGAUCUCAAAUGGGCAAGAAUGAUUUUCUCACCCCAAAAGCAAUCGCUAAUCGAAUCAAAGCCAAAGGUCUCCAGAAGCUC